rnacentral:lncRNA from 1 species
UUCAAUAGAAACGACAUAAACAGUCAUUGAGUGGCCAUGAAUCUCAUUUCAUUUCAACAGAACAGACUACUUAAACAAUCAUUGAAGUAUCACACGCUCGAUGCAAGGUCUACAAAUGACGUAAAGAAUAAUGAAAGAAGUAGAUGUAACAGUUAUCCGAAUGACUUACAACAAGUUGGCUCCAUCGAAAACGAACAGAUCUGAAAAUGAACAUAGAACGAUGGGCGCAACCUUGAUGACGACCUCGAACGAAACCUCUGAUUUUACGACUCGAGUGCAAAUCAAAAUCCAAGAAAGGAAAUCAAAAUUUAAGAACUGAAAUGAAUCUUUUCAGGUAUAAGAGCCAGUAAACGGAUCCUUUUUUUGGUUUCUUCUUUAUGAACGAAAGAGAAAGACGAAAUCACAAAAUGAAAGGCCGAAAUGGAGCCUAAGACCCUCGUCCCCUCUCACUAUGUGGUUGUCCGUUUUGAUACUAUUUCAGCUCAUUUUGGAGCAUGUUUGAGAAUAAUUUCUAGCUGUAAUUUCGCUAUUGUUUCUGGCCAAGUUUCAGACUAUUUCACAGAAGAUUCAAACGGAUUUCAUGGCAGUUGUAAUCGCGACUGACGAAGAAGAAGAAACGUCUCCCGCUGCUUCGGUUCAUGGAAUGAGGACGAAUAAGUCUCUGGGGGUCAUUUAGGUGAGGAAAUGAAGAUGAGAUCGUGAGGAGGGAGGUCUGGCGAUCGGUGGAGGUUUACAGUGGUUCCGAGCCAACCUUGGCCCCAUCCCCAUAAUAGAGGGAAAAAAAUGGGGGCAUUUUGCUCCAACCCUCCCCAUAUUUGUAA